AGAGUUUGAUCCUGGCUCAGGAUGAACGCUAGCUACAGGCUUAACACAUGCAAGUCGAGGGGAAACGACAUCGAAAGCUUGCUUUUGAUGGGCGUCGACCGGCGCACGGGUGAGUAACGCGUAUCCAACCUGCCCAUCACUUGGGGAUAACCUUGCGAAAGUAAGACUAAUACCCAAUGAUAUCUCUAGAAGACAUCUGAAAGAGAUUAAAGAUUUAUCGGUGAUGGAUGGGGAUGCGUCUGAUUAGCUUGUUGGCGGGGUAACGGCCACCAAGGCUACGAUCAGUAGGGGUUCUGAGAGGAAGGUCCCCCACAUUGGAACUGAGACACGGUACCAAAAGUCCUACGGGAGCA
rnacentral:rRNA from 1 species